rnacentral:ncRNA from 1 species
CAAGUAGAGGCGCACAAUUCAUCAGUACCCGCUUAAUUUUGGGCAAACGUAAGCGGCGAAAGGGGAGAGUGCCGAGGCGCGGUUUUUUGCCCGAAGAAAUCGCCGCCGGGGUAAUGCAGAAUAUGCAUUGCACUGUCACUUAUUUUAGUGGAGAGCUAUUG